rnacentral:rRNA from 1 species
ACAACUUUCAGCAACGGAUCUCUUGGCUCUCGCAUCGAUGAAGAACGCAGCGAAACGCGAUAUGAAUUGUGAAUUGCAGAAACCCCGUGAAUCAUCGUAUCUUUGAACGCAUCUUGCGCCCAUUGGUAUUCCGAUGGGCAUGUCUGUUUGAGUGUCGCGU